rnacentral:misc_RNA from 1 species
GUUUUAUAGGGUUUAAGUGAUAAAUUAAAAUUUAUAUCAACCAUCAAUGAGAUUAUUACUUUCUUGCUGACGUUUGAUGGAGGAAAUGUUUUUGCUAGCCAUUUUUUUCUAGAUUGUAACUUCAGAAGUUCUCGGUUGAAAUGCUGAGCAUCUGCAUGUUUUCUAAUGUACUUGGGAUUGUGAUUGGUUGUCCUUCAUGCUAUAUCAUGUUUCAUUUCAGUUUCUGCUGAAAUUAAUUGAAUGCGUUGAUUGUAAUAUAUUGGCUUCAAGUCAUCUUCACUUAGUUGCAAAUUUGCCAAUGUUCACUUCUAGUUUACUGCAUGUCUUGAAUUCAAAGCCCUAUACUUAAUUAUUUUCCCUUUUUCAUGAAGGUUGUCAAGUAAUUAAAUCCAGUGUUGGUGUACGUGGAUUAACCUUUUGUGCUACUUUGCGGGUAUCAUUUAUUAUUGUUGAACUGUUAAUUUCUUCCAUUUCAG